UUUCAUAUCUUUCCUCCCUCCAUCUUGAGUUUCUUGAGAGUGUCUCAGAUCUGAAACCCCUCCUUUUACUUUCCAUCUUUGGAAGAGUCCAAAUCAAGAAGAAGGAGGCACCUGAUCAACCAUCAAAGAAGGAUCAGCGCAGUACUAGCAUACUGUGCUGAUUUCCUGAAGCAGGACUUCUGAUCGAGAUUCGUGGGCUCGUGUGGAUGACUCCUAGAGGCCGGAUGCAUGUGCGGCUUGCAACAUCAUCCUUAAGCCCAG
rnacentral:lncRNA from 1 species